rnacentral:rRNA from 1 species
GGGAAACCGGGGCUAAUACCGGAUACGAGACUGCGAAGGCAUCUUCAGCAGCUGGAAAGAACUUCGGUCCGGGAUGGGCUCGCGGCCUAUCAGCUUGUUGGUGAGGUAACGGCUCACCAAGGCGUCGACGGGUAGCCGGCCUGAGAGGGUGACCGGCCACACUGGGACUGAGACACGGCCUAGACUCCUACGGGAGGCAGCAGUGGGGAAUAUUGCACAAUGGGCGCAAGCCUGAUGCAGCAACGCCGCGUGAGGGACGACGGCCUUCGGGUUGUAAACCUCUUUUAGCAGGGAAGAGGCGAAAGUGACGGUACCUGCAGAAAAAGCGCCGGCUAACUACGUGCCAGCAGCCGCGGUAAUA